AGGGUUUGAUCAUGGCUCAGAUUGAACGCUGGCGGCAGGCCUAACACAUGCAAGUCGAGCGGUAGAGAGAAGCUUGCUUCUCUUGAGAGCGGCGGACGGGUGAGUAAUGCCUAGGAAUCUGCCUGGUAGUGGGGGAUAACGUUCGGAAACGGACGCUAAUACCGCAUACGUCCUACGGGAGAAAGCAGGGGACCUUCGGGCCUUGCGCUAUCAGAUGAGCCUAGGUCGGAUUAGCUAGUUGGUGAGGUAAUGGCUCACCAAGGCGACGAUCCGUAACUGGUCUGAGAGGAUGAUCAGUCACACUGGAACUGAGACACGGUCCAGACUCCUACGGGAGGCAGCAGUGGGGAAUAUUGGACAAUGGGCGAAAGCCUGAUCCAGCCAUGCCGCGUGUGUGAAGAAGGUCUUCGGAUUGUAAAGCACUUUAAGUUGGGAGGAAGGGCAGUUACCUAAUACGUGAUUGUUUUGACGUUACCGACAGAAUAAGCACCGGCUAACUCUGUGCCAGCAGCCGCGGUAAUACAGAGGGUGCAAGCGUUAAUCGGAAUUACUGGGCGUAAAGCGCGCGUAGGUGGUUAGUUAAGUUGGAUGUGAAAUCCCCGGGCUCAACCUGGGAACUGCAUUCAAAACUGACUGACUAGAGUAUGGUAGAGGGUGGUGGAAUUUCCUGUGUAGCGGUGAAAUGCGUAGAUAUAGGAAGGAACACCAGUGGCGAAGGCGACCACCUGGACUGAUACUGACACUGAGGUGCGAAAGCGUGGGGAGCAAACAGGAUUAGAUACCCUGGUAGUCCACGCCGUAAACGAUGUCAACUAGCCGUUGGGAGCCUUGAGCUCUUAGUGGCGCAGCUAACGCAUUAAGUUG
rnacentral:rRNA from 1 species